CCCGCACAAGCGGUGGAGCAUGUGGUUUAAUUCGAUGCAACGCGAAGAACCUUACCUGGGCUUGACAUCCCGGGAAUCCCCUGGAAACAGGGGAGUGCCCUUCGGGGAACCCGGUGACAGGUGCUGCAUGGCUGUCGUCAGCUCGUGUCGUGAGAUGUUGGGUUAAGUCCCGCAACGAGCGCAACCCUUGUCAUUAGUUGCUACGAAAGGGCACUCUAAUGAGACUGCCGGUGACAAACCGGAGGAAAGGUGGGGAUGACGUCAAGUCCUCAUGGCCCUUAUAGGUGGGGCUACACACGUCAUACAAUGGCUGGUACAAAGGGUUGCCAACCCGCGAGGGGGAGCCAAUCCCAUAAAGCCAGUCGUAGUCCGGAUCGCAGUCUGCAACUCGACUGCGUGAAGUCGGAAUCGCUAGUAAUCGUGGAUCAGCAUGUCACGGUGAAUACGUUCCCGGGUCUU
rnacentral:rRNA from 1 species